rnacentral:misc_RNA from 1 species
GAUGAAGAACGUAGCGAAAUGCGAUAAGUAAUGUGAAUUGCAGAAUUCAGUGAAUCAUCGAAUCUUUGAACGCACAUUGCGCCCCUUGGUAUUCCGAGGGGCAUGCCUGUUCGAGCGUCAUUAUAACCCCUCAAGCUCAGCUUGGUGUUGGGGCCUGCUGCACUGGCAGCCCUUAAAAUCAGUGGCGGCGCCAUCUGGCUCUAAGCGUAGUAAUUCUUCUCGCUAUGGAGUCCUGGUGGAUGCUUGCCAUCAACCCCCAAUUUUUCUAUGGUUGACCUCGGAUCAGGUAGGGAUACCCGCUGAACUUAAGCAUAUCAAUAAGCGCAGGA